GCCCUAGAGCUAGUGGAAGACCUAAGAUGGCGGCGUUUGCGCGGGGUGUAACCACUGCGUCCUUACGGGGGUUGCAAGGCGUCCGAAGUAUGAGUCCACUAACAAAAGUCCAGAAACUCGCCAGUUAAUAGUAUUGUGUCUCUUCAAAAUAUCGGAAAAUAAUUUCUUUCUCGCUGAUCGCCUAACUUCUACUGACGAGGCUAGGAAGUUGCAGAAGAUGGAGUUCACUCUUGUUGCCCAGGCUGGAAUGCAAUGGCAUGACCUUGGCUCACUGCAACCUCUGCCUCCCCAGUUCAAGUGGUUCUCCUGCCUCAGCCUCCCGAGUAGCUGGGAUUAGAGAAACCACAAUAAAGGCUCUUGCCCACAUUCUUGCCUCACCCUCUGCCUCCUGACUGACACUGGUGCUUUCCUGGGUGACCCCCGACGGUGUGGCAUGCCUCUUCUUGUGAUCUAUUGUUCACUUUUGGCAUAUAGAAACACUACUGAUGCCUCAGAGAUGGCCACGAUGGUGUUCUGGUGUCAGCAGAAUAGCAAUGCCUGGGAGUCCACCACCACCAUAAUCUCCUGUGAUCCCACAGAGCUGCAGACAGAAGGGAGCAAUGACAAGAAAUAAGUGCUGAGCAGUUUUCACAUGGUGCUGGAAGACAGGCUGCUUUUCCCUGAGGACAGAAGACAGCCUGAUGACGGUGGUACAAUGACAUCUCUGUGCUGGGAGUGACCCGCUCGGGGGCCCAGGCUGAUCAUUUCACACAGACACCCCUGGAUCCUGGAAGCCAAGUCCUGGUCUGGGUAGACUGGGAGUGGAGGUUUGACCACAUGUAGCAGCAUUAAGGGCAGCAUCUCAUCACAGCAGUUGCUGAUUAUCUAUUUGAGUUAAAGACAACAAAAUAUCAGAGAUCAGCUGCUCAACAAAGUAUGAGAACUGAGCCUGAAUGAUCCUGAGGCGGAGCAGGUGAGAGGCUGGGGCCUGCCAGAUGAUCAUGCUGGGCCCAUUGGAAUUGUUACCAUCAAGGGUGUUGAUUCCAACAUGUGCUGUGGGAUCCCCAUGAGCAAUCUCCGUGACUUUCCAGUCAUUAAGAUUCUAGGCACUGAGAAGAGGAAAAGGAAUAAAAUCAAACUGAUAUUUUGGUCUGGGAACCAGAUGCUGAAAUGGAUGAAGAGAAGUCAUGAAACUGAAAAAGCACUGAAUCACUCUGCUUAAGUGUGGAGCAGAGGAUCACAUGGAAGCAGUGAAAAAGCUCCAGAAUGUGGCCGGGCGUAGUGGCUUGUGCCUGUGAUCCCAGCACUUUGGGAAGCCAAGGCGGGCAGAUCACGAGGUCAGGAGAUCGAGGCCAUCCUGGCUAACACAGUGAAACCCUGUCUCUACUAAAAAUAUAAAAAAUUAGCCGGGCGUGUGGCGGGCGCCUGUAGUCCUAGCUACUUGGGAGGCUGAGGCAGGAGAAUGGCGUGAACCCAGGAGGUGGAAUUUGCAGUGAGCUGAGAUCACGCCACUGCACUCCAGCCUGGGCGACAGAGCAAGACUCUGUCUCAAAAU
rnacentral:lncRNA from 1 species